rnacentral:misc_RNA from 1 species
GAUGAAGAACGCAGUGAAAUGCGAUAAGUAAUGCGAAUUGCAGAAUUUCCGUGAGUCAUCGAAUCUUUGAACGCACAUUGCGCCCGCCAGUAUUCUGGCGGGCAUGCCUGUUCGAGCGUCAUUUCAACCCUCAAGACCCCUUCGGGGGACUUGGUGUUGGGGACCGGCACAGGGGCCUGCCUGCUUGUCUUGCAGCGCCCUCGCCGCCCCCGAAAUGAAUUGGCGGCCUCGUCGCGGCCUCCCCUGCGUAGUAGCACAACCUCGCAACGGGAACGUGACGGCGGCCACUGCCGUAAAACAACCCAAUUUUAUUAGAGUUGACCUCGAAUCAGGUAGGAAUACCCGCUGAACUUAAGCAUAUCAAUAAGCGGAGGA